GCUGACUCUCUUUUCAGAUUCAGCCCAGUUGCACCCAAGUAAAAUAAACAGUCUUGUUGCUCACACAAAGCCUGUUGGUGGACUCUCUUCAUAUGGACUCAUGUGACAUUUGGUGCCGAAGACCUGAGACAGGAGGACUCCUUUGGGAGACCGGUCCCCUGUCCUCGCCCUCUCUCCAUGAGAUCCACCCAUGACCUCGGGUCCUCAGCCCAGCCGAAGGAACUUCUCACCAAUUUUAAAUCGGGGACGCAAAGCCAACAAGAAUGAAGAAGUGGCCAGAUGUGAAUCAGUGCAAGGGCCCAGGACAGCGGAAGAGGUGUGAAGCCAUCCUGUGAUCGGG
rnacentral:lncRNA from 10 species